AGGUACAUGAUGUGGCAACACCGCCACAGAUCCAAAGUAUAGCCCUUGUGGCUGGGUCCAGUUGUCCGUCAGCCACGCCGCCGUCGGUCCCCUCGUCGUUGCGGAUGACUUCUCCAUCCGUGGUGAGUAGCCUCCACUCGCCGCUAUUCACUUUCUCCGGCCGGAAAGACCAAGUAUGUACAUCCGCAUCGUCCCUUACCCUCCCGCCCCCCUCUGUUCAUCUCCAUGGAUGGAUGUAGCCGUUCUUGGUAGAGGACGGCUGCAGGCUUCGUUGGCCAGGCUGAAUCGGUACAGGCAAAAAAUCUGGGCAUCUCCCAUGUUCGUCAUUAAAACGAAUAGCAGAAGGCACGAGCACCACUUCCUGGGCUGCUUGUUCAUUACUGAUGAUUUGUGCUUUGUAGAUGUAGGCUGUUCUGCUUCCUUCCUAAUUACAUUGUGCCGCACAUUCAUCUUUUGUACUGGAAACAAAAAGUAUUAGGUAAAUUUCUGUUCUUGUUGCAGUUCAGGCAUUGCUUUGUAGUUGUACACUGCUAAUUCAGAAGUUUGAUGUAUGUUGUUUGAUUUUUUGAAGAGUAAUUGCCCACAGCAUUUAUUUGCCAGCUUUUACAAUUGAGAAACUCAUACCAUUUUAUACCUAAAUGAAGAAAACUGAUAUCUGCAGAUUCUGUAGGUACAUGCUAUUUCUUAUCUGCAGUUUUAUUGCAUGUAUUUUGUUGAGAAAAAGUGCCAUGCCUGCCACCUCCCACGUCCUCCGUCCGCCUCAUCAUCCCCGGCGAGCUUGCCAAGAACGCCAUUCUUGAAUAUCUAUGAAGUUUGGAUAGUGCACUGAAUAUUCAGGUUUUUCAGUGCCAGGUUCAUUUUACUGCAUAGUGUCUAAUCUUCUGCAUGCACAUAAUGGUGAUGGAUCCCAUAUGAGUCAGGGCAUCUAAUGGUCUUUGUACAGCUAAAAACAUUUUUUACUUAGUGAUAUCUGCACUGCCCUUGCCUACAUAAUUUGCACAUCUCACAUGGACCAGAAACAUUUUUACUUGGUGAUUAUAUCUACACUGCCUUUUCCUGCACAUGCUCUUUAUGUUAUGCAUACACUUUACUCAAACAUCUAUUUGCCCUUAUGUUCUUCUAUGGCACUCACUCAAUUUACAUUUGUGAAUUAUGAUUGCUGGAAGUAAACUUGACUGAAAAUACACGUAAUUCAUGCUUGUUCUUCUAACAAAAAAUUCAGUCCAUGCUUAUGUCCCUGUGUCACUGAAGAAGAUAAUUUGGAAUCCAGCUCUUGAACUUUUUUUGGUUGAGUUACUUCAUGAGCACAGCACUUCUUACUGCUGACUAUUUUUCUUUUCUCACUGUGCGAGCACUAGCAGUGUAGAAUUUGUGAGAUCUGCUAGUUAGUUAAGCAACUACUAGUUUAAUAAGUAAAUGCCCAUGAGAUGCUCCUGUUGGUACCUUUGAUUUUUCUUCUUUAUGGAGAGAAAGUAAUUUAUUAAUCUCACUGAAUCCAUCUACCAAGAGUAGAUUGUUUGUUAACUAGGCCUGCUAUUACACUGCUUCUCUGUUAUAUAUUAUGUGCAAACUUCCUCUGUGUUAUGUGGUGAAAAUUGCCAUCAUAUCGGUUUCCACACAAUAAGUUGAUGAAUUUAUGCCACGUGAUCUUUUCUCAAUUUAAUAUAUAUCACAAUUUGAUGAUGAAUUUCUUGUUCUCAGUACAUGCCACCAUGUUCAGGAUGUUAUGUACUAAAUACCUCCAUCUAAACAAGUUGUAAAAAUAUUUUUUUCCUGCCCUUUACUCUGUUUUAUUUAUUUAUAUUAGAAAUUGGUGCAGAGUUAGAUAUGUGUAGAGCUUGAAGAUUUGUCCUCUUAAUUACAGAUGGUGCCCAACAUUUGGUAAUCUUAUAAACCUGACCAAAGCUAACUCUUAACUAUACCAGGUAUAUGGUCUUCUCCGUAGCAGCAGUAGUUGAGACAUCAUUAGUAGUGGUUAGGUUUGCACUUAUGGUACGAAAUGAUUCUACAAAGUUUAGUUGACAGGUUUGUAUGGCCUCAACUACUACUUCUAUAGUACUUAGUUAUGUGAUGUGUGUUUUGUUAUUUUAUCAUUUGAAUUUUAUUUGACACAUUUUCUUGUGUUUUGUUACUUUGUCAUUUGACUUUCAUUACUGCCUUGAUGUCUAAUUCAAUGAUUACCUGACUUCUUAAUAUGGUUGUAUAAAUAAUCCUUCUGUUUUCCCUUAUUCUUCUGGUUUGCAAGCUAACAGUUUAAUUGAUGUUGAGUUUCUUCGCUUAUUACAGCAGAGGUGAUGGAUUUUGUACAACUGUAUUUCUGGAAAUGCGUGUACACAGAAUUACAAUCUGAAGGAGCGAUGGAAGUGAAGAUUGCGCGCUUUUAUUUAAGAUUACUAAUAGUAAAUGGUUUGGCAGUUAAUCUGUGUUCUUGGAGAUUGAACUUUUUCAGCGAGAAUUAUUUGGGUUCGGAAGCUGCCCUGAAGCGGUGGUGAAGUGUUGGAGACUAAAAAUCUGAUAGUAGUGCAUUUUCUUUGAAGCCACGUUACUCUUUUCUUUAACAAAAAUGCUUAAAGCGCUUUCUAGAUAUGCUUGUGAUGUUUUAAAGUCAUGUUGGAACUCUGUAUUGUCAUGUGAACAAUUGAUAUUUUUGAAUGAACAUAAUUUGGUUGUC